rnacentral:rRNA from 1 species
GANUAAUGCCUAGGUAUCUGCCCAGUCGAGGGGGAUAACAGUUGGAAACGACUGCUAAUACCGCAUACGCCCUACGGGGGAAAGGAGGGGACCUUCGGGCCUUCCGCGAUUGGAUGAACCUAGGUGGGAUUANCUAGUUGGUGAGGUAAUGGCUCACCAAGGCGACGAUCCCUAGCUGGUCUGAGAGGAUGAUCAGCCACACUGGAACUGAGACACGGUCCAGACUCCUACGGGAGGCAGCAGUGGGGAAUAUUGCACAAUGGGCGAAAGCCUGAUGCAGCCAUGCCGCGUGUGUGAAGAAGGCCUUCGGGUUGUAAAGCACUUUCAGCGAGGAGGAAAGGUUAAGUCUUAAUACGGCUUAGCUGUGACGUUACUCGCAGAAGAAGCACCGGCUAACUUCGUGCCAGCAGCCGCGGUAAUACNAGGGGUGCAAGCGUUAAUCGGAAUUACUGGNCGNAAAGCGUACGCAGGCGGUUUGUUAAGCAAGAUGUGAAAGCCCCGGGCUCAACCUGGGAACUGCAUUUUGAACUGGCAAACUAGAGUCUUGUANAGGGGGGUAGAAUUUCAGGUGUANCGGUGAAAUGCGUANAGAUCUGAAGGAAUACCGGUGGCGAANGCGGCCCCCUGGACAAAGACUGACGCUCANGUACGAANGCGUGGGGAGCAAACAGGANUANAUACCCUGGUAGUCCACGCCGU